rnacentral:rRNA from 1 species
GAAAUUAAGAGUAUAUGGCGGAUGCCUAGACUAAAAAAGGCGAUGAAAGACGUAGCAUGGCGGCGAUACGUUUCGGGGAGGUGCCUAGCAACCUUUGAUCCGGAAAUUUCUGAAUGGGGAAACCCCUCUAAGUAACCCUUAGAGACACUUGCGCUUGACGUAAGUGAGCAUACCAAGGGAAGUAAAACAUUUCAGUACCUUGAGGAAAAGAGAAAAAUAUUUAUUUUCUGAGUAGCGGCGAGCGAAAAGGAAAGAGCCCAAACCCGUAUGUUAUUAGAUUAAACUUCUGGAAAGGAGUGCCGUAGACGGUGAUAGCCCGGUGAUCGAAAAUUUCAUACCUUCUUGAUUGUCAUUCUUGAGUAACUCAAGACAUGAAUAGCUUGAGCGAAUCCACCAGAACUAACUGGUAAGGCUAAAUACUUUUUUAGAUCGAUAGUGAACUAGUACCGUGAGGGAAAGGUGAAAAGAACCCCGAUGAGGGGAGUGAAAUAGACCUGAAACCAUAUACUUACAAGGAGUCGGAGCGGACGUAUUUAUACGAUCCGUCACGGCGUGCCUAUUGAAGAAUGAGCCAACGAGUUUAUCUAUGCUGCAGGCUAAGCUGUUAGAACAGUGGAGCCUUAGGGAAACCGAGUGUUAAUAGCGCGAACAAUUAAUGUAGUCUAGAUAAGACCCGAAGCGAGGUGAGCUUGCCAUGAGCAGGAUGAAGUUUGUCGAAAGAUAGAUGGAGGUCCGAACCGGUGACCCGUGCAAUAGUCUCGGAUGACUUGUGGUAAGGAGUGAAAAGCUAAUCGAACCUCGUAAUAGCUGGUUCUCUCCGAAAUAGC